GCAAACUUGGUCAUUUAGAGGAAGUAAAAGUCGUAACAAGGUUUCCGUAGGUGAACCUGCGGAAGGAUCAUUAACAAAUCCGUGUGGGGUGUUAUGGCCCCGACACUCGUUCCGCGUCCACAUGUUGGAUGCGUCACAUUUAUUUAUCUAUGCUGACUGAUCGCGCAAACACAACAACUUUUAACAAUGGAUCUCUAGGCUCCUUCAGAUGUGUAUAAGAGACAGGCAAACUUGGUCAUUUAGAGGAAGUAAAAGUCGUAACAAGGUUUCCGUAGGUGAACCUGCGGAAGGAUCAUUAACAAAUCCGUGUGGGGUGUUAUGGCCCCGACACUCGUUCCGCGUCCACAUGUUGGAUGCGUCACAUUUAUUUAUCUAUGCUGACUGAUCGCGCAAACACAACAACUUUUAACAAUGGAUCUCUAGGCUCCUGCAUCGAUGAAGAACGCAGC
rnacentral:misc_RNA from 1 species